AGCAAGGAGCAUAAUGUUGGAGGGACGAAUAUAACGAAAGAGAAUGAAGUGACAGCGAAGCAAAGGGCUCAUACCAUCUGGCACACACAGCACAGUACAACACAGCGACGCAACAAGCACACACUCCCUCCCCACCUUCCUCCUCUAGACCCAGCCCGGGCAGGGUCCCACUCAGAGCCCAGGGCUCCGGGUCAGCUCUGUGGUUGUGCCCACAGGCUCAGGGCAAAUGCUCUCUCUGCAGCCUUCUGCUGUGCAAACUUGGCAAGUCACAUCACCUCCUUGGGCCUCUGCUGCCACGUGGGAUGUCAGACCUGCUCACAGAGACAAGUUGCUUCUUCAAACUUCCUUGGAUUACUAAGUCCCUCCCUCCUCUCUCCUCCUGAGAGCCCAGAAGAAUGGGCAGAAGACCCAGGUGCCGCACCAGAAGUGGCGGAGCAGCCCGUCUACAGGGAAAGAGGAGCUGAAGAGCCAGCGGGGAGGAAACAGGCCUGGAGCUGCCUCCUGUCUCCUCGAGGGCCCUCUCUCUCUUCCUUCCUACAAAAGGCCCUUGCACACGGGACACAGGGAGAUGAUCAUUUGGGUAACAUGAAGCUCUCUAUCUCCUUGGAGCUAGCUAUGAAUAAAGCCUUCUUUCCUUUCAGCAGACUUAAUGGCCUCACAUAGUUGUUUGGUCAGAGAUGACCAUGUAGGCCUCUGUGGCCUGUAAUAGGAUGAGGACCUGCCUAUGGCCACUAUGAUAGAGAGCCAGGGGGCAAGUGGCCCACCUGGGCUUAGAACCUGGGUCUGUCUUACUCUGGAGCCUGAAGCCUCUCUGUUAUGCCCCCUGGUUCUCAGGGUGCUUGGCCUGCAGCCCACGCAUUAGAAGUACUCAGGGGUAUUUAAAGGUCUGGUGGCCCGUGCCCUGCCCCCCAACCCCAGGCUUGUGUCCUAGACUCUGGAGAGUAGGUCUGGCACCUGCAUUCUGUGGGAAGCUUGGUUCUUUCAUAAUGGUUUGCAAAUGGAGAGUGUGAGGCUCUACCUGAGCAGAGACUGGAGCUGACCCAGCCCCUGCUCACAGACCGUGUGCUUUGUGGAACUGCACUGACUGAAAACAAGGGGGCACCCGAGAAAGAACAAAACUAUCUUUAUCUUUGAAAAGCUUGACUUCUGCCAUUUCUGGGAGUAACACAAACAAUACUCACAACCACCUCCCAAUAAUCAUAAUAAUCACCACAUCAUCAUAGUGACAAUGGCCAACAGUGUCCCUCAGGACAGGGACUCAUGGUUUCCCUGCAACAUCUCAUGUCAUCCUGACACUGGCCCUAUUCUCACAAGGCCCCCACUCCUUCAGAGAGGAAGAAACUGAGGCACAGAGGAGUGGGUGGAGUAACAUGGCCGUGGUCACCAUGUCAGGAAGUGGCAGAGGCGGGAAGGGUCAGCUCACACCUGCAAUGGCUCGGUGAGAAGAGGGUGGUGUCAUGCAGGCCCCAGACAGCAGGGAGAAGACCACAUCUCCACCUCAGGGCCCCAUGAUCAACAACAGGGACACAGGUGACAGGUGGAAAGGUGGCCGGGCUAGAUGUGGC
rnacentral:lncRNA from 1 species